UACGUAGGGUGCGAGCGUUGUCCGGAAUUAUUGGGCGUAAAGGGCUCGUAGGCGGUUUGUCGCGUCGGGAGUGAAAACCCAGGGCUUAACCCUGGGCCUGCUUCCGAUACGGGCAGACUAGAGGUAUGCAGGGGAGAACGGGAUUCCUGGUGUAGCGGUGAAAUGCGCAGAUAUCAGGAGGAACACCGGUGGCGAAGGCGGAUCUCUGGGCCUUACCUGACGCUCAGGUGCGAAAGCUAGGGGAGCGAACAGG
rnacentral:rRNA from 1 species